rnacentral:rRNA from 1 species
CGACUGUCGAUGAGACAGACUCGUUAUAGGGUCAAGCGAACAAGUGCAUGUGGUGGAUGCCUUGGCGAUCACAGGCGAUGAAGGACGCGGUAGCCUGCGAAAAGCUACGGGGAGCUGGCAAACGAGCUUUGAUCCGUAGAUGUCCGAAUGGGGAAACCCGG